AGACGGGGGGUGCUAGCGUUGUUCGGAAUUACUGGGCGUAAAGGGCGCGUAGGCGGCUCUGCGAGUCGGGCGUGAAAUCCCGGGGCUCAACCCCGGAACGGCGCUCGAUACUGCGGGGCUGGAGACCGGAAGAGGAGGGUGGAAUUCCCAGUGUAGAGGUGAAAUUCGUAGAUAUUGGGAGGAACACCGGUGGCGAAAGCGGCUCUCUGGUCCGGUUCUGACGCUGAGGCGCGAAAGCGUGGGGAGCAAACAGGAUUAGCAACCCUAGUAGUCC
rnacentral:rRNA from 1 species